rnacentral:rRNA from 1 species
MGAGUUUGAUCAUGGCUCAGAKUGAACGCUGGCGGCAUGCCUAACACAUGCAAGUCGCACGCGAAAGGGGGCAACCCCGAGUAGAGUGGCGGACGGGUGCGUAACGCGUAGGAAUAUACCUGGUAGUGGGGGACAACCCGGCGAAAGCCGGGCUAAUACCGCAUACGAUCCACGGAUGAAAGCAGGGGACCGCAAGGCCUUGCGCUAUCAGAUUAGCCUGCGUCGGAUUAGCUAGUUGGUGAGGUAAUGGCUCACCAAGGCAACGAUCCGUAGCUGGUUUGAGAGAACGACCAGCCACACUGGGACUGAGACACGGCCCAGACUCCUACGGGAGGCAGCAGUGGGGAAUAUUGGACAAUGGGGGCAACCCUGAUCCAGCAAUGCCGCGUGUGUGAAGAAGGCCUUCGGGUUGUAAAGCACUUUCGAUGGGGAAAAACAAGCCAGACCUAACACGUCUGGCCCUGAUGAAGAAGCACCGGCUAACUCUGUGCCAGCAGCCGCGGUAAUUCA